GGUAGUUCAGCUGGUUAGAAUGCCGCCCUGUCACGGCGGAGGUCGCGGGUUCGAGUCCCGUCC
rnacentral:tRNA from 1 species